AUAUUGCACAAUGGGGGAAACCCUGAUGUAGCAACGCCGCGUGAUCGAUGAAAGCCUUCGGGUCGUAAAGCUCUGUUCUAAGGGAAGAUAAUGACGGUACCUUAGGAGGAAGCUCUGGCUCACUACGUUCUAGCAGCCUGGGUAAUACGUAGGGGGCAAGCGUUAUCCGGAAUCAUUGGGCGUAAAGGGUGCGUAGGCUGCCCUAUAGGUCAGAGGUCAAAGGCUACGGCACAACCGUAGUAAGCCUUUGAACAUGUAGGGCUUGAGUGCAAGAGAGGAGAGUGGAAUUCCUAGUGUAGCGGUGAAAUGCGUAGAUAUUAGGAGGAACACCAGUGGCGAAGGCGACUUUCUGGACUGUAACUGACGCUGAGGUACGAAAGCGUGGGUAGCGAACA
rnacentral:rRNA from 1 species